AUAAAGCACUGAAUUUAUAUUUUUUGCAUUGCUACAGGCAAUUCGUGACAUGGAUUACAUUGUACAGGAUAAACUAUUAUUGGAACAAUUAAUUGGAAUGGAGUUACAUGAGCCUAUAGACAAAACCAUUUUCUACAAUGAUGAAAAGCUUUCAUUCACUGAAGUUCUGUACUAUGGCAAUGAAAGCACACUUCUUACUUUCGAUACUCUGUUUUUCUGUAUUGUGGACCUUGCUACUCAAAGUUUCAUUUUUGCUGCAUUUCUAACUUAUAUACAACAAAAGGUAUUUUGCAUUGGUCUUCAAUGUAGAGGAUGCAAGUGACAUCUCAGAAACAUCUACAAAUGAGGAAAUGGAAAAGAAGGAAGGUUAUUCAGUUUAUUCGCCUUGCAGUAGGACGCAAGAACUUAGUUGCAAAAACACUAGUUGAUGAAAGAUUUCUUCUCUGAAAUGCAGAGACCAAGGAGUUCAUUAGGAGGACAGACUGUCCAAGUGGAACUCCACUACUACAAGAUUCUAAUAUUCUUGGACUUGUUUUACAUAAUUUUCACUAAACAAAAACAAUCCUGUUACUAUUGUUUUCCUUUGCUGUGGGUACAAAUUGUUCCGACAGUCUUUACAGUAUUGUUGUCUAAUGUUCUGUUCUAAUGUUUUAGGUAAGUUUGUAAUUUGACAAGUAACAUACAUCUGUGUAUUUAGUUUUUUCUCCUUCCUUUACCUUUUCUGUAUUUGCAUUGCCAAGUAACAUGCUUCCACCAAAUGAGUGAUAGGUAACUUUAGCUGAGCAAUGUUAUUCUGUAUCUUUGUUAGAAUUUAUUGGCAUAUGACCCUUAUCAUUCUUUACUAUAUCAAAUUGGAUCAAUUUACUUGAUUGAAUCGAUCUUUAUGAAUGUUGAGUUCUUUGUUAGGAAUCGUCAUAAUCUUUUGUUGAUAUAAAAUGUCAAAUAUAAAUUUAACAACUUUAAAAGAACGUUACAUUUUUAUGUUUAUUACUGAAUGUAAUUGCAUUUAUUAGUAACUGAGAUAACAAAUUAAUAUCACUGCUAAAAUUUGAAGCAGCCUCCCAUUAAAGAAGGAGCCAGCACUUGUACCUCCAUGGAUGGUUCCCAUGAAAUUAGCUAACAUAAUUACAAAGGAAAAGUUGGACUAUUGAAUCCAAAGUCUAACUCCUAAGUAACUAUUAAACUGACUCCAUCAUUAACUCUCACAACCCCUAGAUCCCUUACACCACAGAUCCUGGCCCAGCACCCCUUGGGGUGCUGACAGUCAUCCCCUCUAGGACUCUACACCCCACCAGGACCUGUCAUCCCCACCUGGGGAAACAGCACCCUCUUUGCCCCACUAGAACUGGAUUGAUUCCCGCAGUUGCCAGACCACAUCCUCUGAGAACCUUGACCCAAGACCCCCAACCACCACCACUAAUACUGUACUUAAUCCCCUCCACCACCACACUCAAUCUGACUCCUUGCCCCACCAGAAACAGCACCCACUUAACUACCCCCCUUCUCUACUGCCAGACCUAGUCAUCUAUUCCCCUCUGCCUGCUAGAUUGGACGAACUGUAGGACAAACCCCCAGCCCUGACAAAUCUCCUCUCCAACCUACCCGACAUACCCUAAACACUUACCUUUUCCCUUGCAUCUUACCCGCACUCAGUUGGCACCGUAUCCUGUUGGCACCCUAUCUCUUACAUAUUUGGCAAUUUACCACCUGGCACCCUAUCCCUCCCCAACUGCCACCUUACAGCCCUAGCACCGUAGCCCCUACCCAUCUGGCUCCUAGCCCUCUCAGUACCUUACCUUACGUGCUUGAUCUUUAACAGCAGAUAUCAAAGAGGCCGUCAGGACCUUUAGACUUCAGAACAAAGCAGCUGAAUACUGUGAAAAGGGGGCCUUUUUAAGCAUUCUUCACCCAUUCUGUGGUAUGAGAGAGCAAUCAGAAUUGAAGUACCUCUCAGCAUUUGAAUCUCCACUCAGAAAUGCAGGGCUCCCUUCUUUUGUGUAAAGAAGCAGAGUUGCAAGUUGCAUGAGGUUACCGCUCACCAGAAAAUCUGACCUAAUGUUCUAAAAAAGAAGACCGGAUUGUGUUAAUUUCAAAUUUUGUUUUCAAAGAAUGGAGGGUACACUUGCAUUAUGUUUUUGUCAUUCAUUGAGACCAGAGUUCAGGGGAAAUGGUGAACUUAUUUGGGCUGAGAAUAUUUAUUCAGUGAGAAAUAUAAAUUGUAGCUGCAAGGCCUUAUGAAUGACAAUGGUCCCUGUUGGAUUCUUUGUAUACAGAUAUCCUCACUAUAUGUCAGAUUAGCUGUAAUACUGUUCUCACCUAUGGGUCAUAAUGUUAAAGUUGAAGUCCCACAUGAGUUCACGGCUUUGCUUGUUCCAAAGUACAACCAUGGGAGUACUUCACUGUUGGCAGUGCAGUCUUUUGGAUGAAGUAUUAAACUGAAGCUUCACCUGUCAUAAUGCGAUGAAAAAGAUCUCAUGGCACUGCUACAAGAAGGGCAAUGGAAUUCUCACUAGGGUCUUGGUCAAUAUUUAUUCCUCAACCAACAUCACUAAAAUAGAUGAUCUAAUUGUGAUUAAAGAAUGAUACAUCACGGAAAGAGAACACUGGGCCAUCAUGCCUGUGGCUCUUUGAAAGAAUUGCCCAAUUACUUAUCUGCUCUUUCUACUAAUCCUGAAAAUGUUUCCACUUCCAGCAUUUAACCAGUUCCUUUUUCAAAAAUUGUUAUCCAUUCUACUUCAACUUACAUGCCCCAUGUCAGUUAGUAUGAUCUAAAUUAUAGUAACUUGAUGCAUCUUCUUUUGACCAUGGCACCACUGGUUCUUUUGGCAAGUGUUCUCUAAUAAUCAAUCUUUAUGACAAUGAAAGUUUUUUUCUCCUUAUUUAUACUAUUAAGAACCUUCAUGAUAGCGACCAUUUCUACCAAAUCUCUCCUUACUAUUUUCCACUCUGAAGAGAACAACCCAGUUUCUUUACCAGAAUCAGAAUAUCCUUUAUUGUCACGUGUACUCCAUUGCAGAAGUACAAUGAAAAGCUUUUACAAUGUCUGCCUCUUAUGGCACCAUCUUAGUUAUAAGUACUGAGGUAUAAAUCUUGGAUACAAAAGAGGAAUAAAAAAUAGUUGCAUUACUUUAUAGAGUUUAAAAAUAAGUUAGAGAUAAGACAUCAUUAAAGGAUUGACUUUACAGUCAGGUAAAAAAUUUCAAAUAAACAUUACAUUGGAGCAGCUCAAUGCAGAGCCUCCGCACAUGGUCUGACCGCCCAUUCCAGACCCAGUCCAACAGCCAGCCCCGUUCUGCUCCAAGCCUCCAGGCCACUCCAUUCUUGCACUCAGCUGCUCCAAGGUAAGUUCCAGGACUGCUCCCCCUCACCGGUCUUUGCCUGGGACUUGCUGCCCGUGCUGCUCUGAGACUUGCUGCCCACACACUACUCUAGGACUCACUGCCCACAGUGCUCCAGGACUUGCUAAUCAUUCCGUGUAACCAUUUUGUUUCUCUAAUCAUUCCAUGUAACAGAAGUCUUUCCUUUCUGAUUCCAUCCUUUUCAUUCUCCUCUGCUCUUUGCUUUUCCACUCUAUGGGUGGGAUUUUAAACUGAAAGUCCCUGGCCAAUCAAAAGGACUAUUAGCCACUAGAACUCAUUCGAAUCUCCAGUGGACUUCAACAUAGCUGUAUAACUAAGCCGCAACGUUGGCAAUCAACUUCCAGUCUCCUUGACCAAUUAGAGACAGUGGGUGUGAUGAUGUGCUCGAUCAGUUAAAGGAAGGAGUUCUGAUUAAAGGACCAUAAAAUGGGUUACAAUGUAGUACAUGCAUAUGGACUUUUAAAACUGCAGUAACCACAGAAGUAGAGAAAACACCUGAGAAGGCUGCUCCCCAAGCAUCUUACUCUGACCUGUGGGUCUUGAUGAAGGAUCUGAGGGGCUACAAUGAGGUGAGGUCUUCCAAGGACUGUGAAAGUGGACACUCUGUCCAUCAAAGUCUUCAUGGAUGGAAACAGAAUAGAAAGUCAGGGAGAGUUUUGUUCAUUCCAAUCUGGAGGCAGUGCACCAGGAGCAUACAGAACUUCACAAGUGUGGGAAAGCUGAGUCAUACACUUUCAGAUGCUAUGCCUCACACUUUGGUUUUUGCAGAAUUCUCUGACACAGUACUGUUUCAGACAUGUUACCCUGCAACUCCACUCAUUCUUUACCAGGCAUCAUACAUUGCCAUCUGGGCAGCCAAUAUUCAUACAUAUCUUAUUGCCUCAUAGUCACCUCUCAGAAAUAUUGUCUUUCUCUGCUGUCCACACAAAAAACUACUCACACUCAUGUAUAUCUGCUUCCUGUCCAUGAAGGGAAGAAAAGAACUACACAAUAUCAGAAAGACACAGAGAGUCAGGGAUGGGUGGGUGUUGGGUAAUGCAAUGGAGUAGCCCUCAAGUGAUAGGCAUCGUAUCAGACGUUGGCAUUGUUAGCCCUGCUUUUGUUCCAAGAGGCUGCAGACGUUACAACAACUUGCUGAGCUGCCUGAGAUGCUGAUGAUCAGACUUGUUAAGGGAACUGAUUGCUAUUACAUGCCCAGUUGAGGGUUAGCAGUAGGCAAGUACAGCUGAUAGUGAGUGAAGUGCAAGACAGGAGAGUGAGUUGCAAGUUGGCAAUCAUCUGUUAAACUAUGAAAGCAUUCUCUGAGACAGAGUGUUAUGAAUAGCAGCCUCUCAUUGGUUUGGCUGCAGCUCUUCAGUUUCAUUGAUCAAAAAGCAUCCCAGUUUCACAGCUUCACUGAAGAAGAACUCCUCAUUGUCCACUUGCCUCAAUUAUCCUAACAAGUUGCUGACAGGUCAUUCAGGAGGUCUAUUGGCUGUCAAAACCAAGAUUCAUGAUUAAAACAGAAUAAAUGAAUUCUUUAAAUAUUUAAAUUCCACUUCACACAUUUGCACAGAGGACCUCCACUCACAUUCAAACCCACCCAGGUCAACCCUGGAACAGAACCAGGUGAUGUUGAGAUCCUGACCCAAUGUUACUUUUAGGUGGCUUAACUCUACUUAUACACUGAAUCCUGAUGUCCCUUACCUUAAGAAUUCUACCCUAUGCCUCUAUUUUUAAAGCCAAUGAUAUAUCUUUUUCCCAAAACUAUUAUUUUUUCAUAAAAUCUUUAAAAGUACAUUACAAAUAAUCUUGACUUGAAUAUUGCAUACAAUGCAACAACAUUCAACUUAUUUCUAGAUGCCAUGUUCCACUUUUGGAUGCUCAAUACAAUUGUAGUGGUCUUAAUAUUUACAAUAUACAUGUCAUGUCAUGCAAAUAGCCAGAGGCCAAAUUAUUUCAACUUGAAAAUUGCAUAGUGUGCAGUCAAUUCAACUUUUCUCCAUGCACCUUGUUCCACUCUGAGGUGCUUCAACACAAUUUCAACACUCUUGAUGUUCACAGUGUGAAUUGCUGUCUGGGUGUCUUCCCUUCCCAGCUCCUCUUACUCUGAAGGUUGGCUAUGUGAGGAAACCAUGAUUGCUUUCCUAUUGAGGCUUCAGAUUAAAGUUGCAGUCAAGGUCACUGUCCUCAUCUGCAUACUUCAACAUGCCAUGCUUUGACAUUUAAUACCAUUAUCAGCACCAUCACAAAGUCCCAAUAUUAGCAUCCUGGGAAUUACCAUUGACCAGAAAUUUAGCUGGACAUGCUACAUAAAUAUCAAGGUUAGCAAAGCAGUUGAGAUGGGAGUAUUCUGCAAUGAGUGACUCACCUCCUGACUUUCCAAGGCUUCUCCAUCAUUUAUAUCCACCAGGAGUGUAAGUCAAUGUUUUUGACUUUCCUUGAUGGAUGCAGCUGCAUCGUGAAGCUCAUGAACAUACAGAACAGAACAGUCCAUUUUAUGAGCAUCUACCAGUCUCAAAAUGUACUACAGGCAUUUACUGGCAGCAACAGCAUCUCUUGCAUCAAUUUCCUUUGGCAGAACUUGUUUACUGUAUAAUUCUAUAACCUCCCAAACCCAUGAGACCUUCCAAUAUAGAAGGACAAAGACAGCAAAUGCAUGAAACAGCUUCACUUUCAAGCGGCACUCCAAACAAACAUCCUAAUUUGGAUGAAUAUAUUACAUUCCUUAAUAGUUCAAAUUUCUGAAACUCCCCAUGUAUCAGUUUUGUGCAUGCACCUUCACCAAAUAGACUCAUUGAUUCUAGAAGAAGUGAACCACUACGUCUCCAGAGCAACUAUGGACAGCAGUAAAUGCCAGGCUUGCCACCAAUGUUUACAUCCUAAGAAUGAUUUUUUAAAAAAUCAGACAUUAUCCAAGCUCAUGAAUUUAUAUCCCACUAGCCACAGGUUCAGCAAGAUUACCACAAUUACUUGGCAGUUUGUUAUUUGCAUAGAAAAACAGGCACUUCUAUUUUAAUUAAAAGAACAAUUUAUGGUCAUUUUAGUAUUAGAAAUAAUAAGGGGAGAUUUUCACUGCAUCCGACUAUGCUAUCCCUGACCCCAGAGUGAUUCAUAGUAAUACUGAGACCUAAUAUUCAAAAUUACUCAUUCCCAGCAUUUAAUAGCACAGAAUUUAAUUUUUAUUUUUUGUUUUUAUGGAUUGUCAAAAAUUAUUGGUAGCCUAAUUGUUCCAACAAAGUGUUACCAACUUUCUCCAGUGCACAGAAUAUGUCCUAUGCUCCAGCUAGAAUUGUGUUUUGUUGAAAUAAAUUUUCAGUGUGAUUACAAGAAAAAAAGCUUUAGCGGCUCGUAGCUAUUUAGUAGGCUUCAGUAUAACCCAUCCUGUUAUAUGUAGCACAGUUAUAAGCCCUAUUUUUGACCCUCUCCUAUUUUAUGUUAGGAUUCUAAUUAAUAUCAGGAAUUGCAUGUUUAUUUGGAACAUAAGAGGGCAGGAUCAAAAUGUGGUUUCCUCGGUUAGCUGUCAAGUACUUUGGGUCUACCUGAGGUUGUUAAACACACUAUAUAACUUUGUUCAGUCUUUCAAUUACUGCAACCUGUACGUAUACAUGAAUCCAGGAAAUGACUGUGCAUAACAAGGUGUAGAG